rnacentral:rRNA from 1 species
AUCAAAAACAUCGCCUCCUGCCUAAACAUAGGAGGUCCUGCCUGCCCAGUGACCCAUUCAACGGCCGCGGUAUUUUAACCGUGCAAAGGUAGCGCAAUCACUCGUUCUUUAAAUAAGGACUUGUAUGAACGGCCCCACGAAGGCUACGCUGUCUCCUUUUCCCCAUCAAUGAACCUGAUCUCCCCGUGAAGAAGCGGGAAUAAACCUAUAAGACGAAAAGACCCUAUGGAGCUUCAGAUUGGAUAUUAUGUGCCUCUAAAUCAGCAUACCUACAUAUCUACCUUCGGUUGGGGCGACCACGGAGAAAAACUUACCCUCCACGACAAACAAGCCAAAACACACAACUUAAAGCACCAACAACUUAACAUUAUUGACCCAAUAACAAUUGAUCAACGAACCAAGUUACCCUAGGGAUAACAGCGCAAUCCAUUUCAAGAGCCCAUAUCAACAAAUGGGUUUACGACCUCGAUGUUGGAUCAGGGCAUCCUAGUGGUGCAACCGCUACUAAAGGUUCGUUUGUUCAACGAUUAAAGCCCUACGUGAUCUGAGUUCAGACCGG